rnacentral:rRNA from 1 species
GAAAACCACCCCGAUGAGGGGAGUGAAACAGUACCUGAAACCGGAUGCUUACAAGCUGAGGGAGCUCUUCGGAGUGACCUCGUACCUUUUGUAUAAUGGGUCAACGACUUAGUGUUGUAUGCAAGCUUAAACCGUUAGGUGUAGGCGCAGCGAAAGCGAGUCUGAAUAGGGCGACCGAGUAUGCAGCAUUAGACCCGAAGGCAAGUGAUCUAGGUAUGGGCAGGGUGAAGGUGCAGUAACAUGCACUGGAGGCCCGAACCGUUGAGCGUUGAAAAGCUCUCGGAUGACCUGUGCCUAGGGGUGAAAGGCCAAUCAAACUUGCUGAUAGCUGGUUCUCCGCGAAAUCUAUUUAGGUAGAGCGUCAUCCGAAUACCCCGGGGGGUAGAGCACUGGAUGGGUAAUGGGGCCCCACAGGCUUACUGAUCCUAACCAAACUCCGAAUACCCGGGAGUACUAGAUGGCAGACACACUGCGGAUGCUAACGUCCGUCGUGGAGAGGGAAACAACCCUGACCUACAGCUAAGGCCCCCAAUUCAUGGCUAAGUGGGAAAGCAGGUGGGACGACCAAAACAACCAGGAUGUUGGCUUAGAAGCAGCCAUCAUUUAAAGAAAGCGUAAUAGCUCACUGGUCGAGUCGGUCCGCGCGGAAGAUGUAACGGGGCUAAGCGAUGUACCGAAGCUGCGGGUGCAUAGCAAUAUGCGCGGUAGAGGAGCGUUCCGUAAGCCUGCGAAGGUGACUCGUAAGGGUUGCUGGAGGUAUCGGAAGUGCGAAUGCUGACAUGAGUAACGAUAAUGCAGGUGA